AGCCCGGUGGUGUAGUGGACAAGCAUUGCGGGCCUUGGACCCGUAGACGGGAGUUCGAAUCUCCCCCGGGCUACCA
rnacentral:tRNA from 1 species